rnacentral:rRNA from 1 species
AUUGAACGCUGGCGGCAUGCUUUACACAUGCAAGUCGAACGGCAGCACGGACUUCGGUCUGGUGGCGAGUGGCGAACGGGUGAGUAAUACAUCGGAACGUGCCCAGUUGUGGGGGAUAACUACUCGAAAGAGUAGCUAAUACCGCAUGAGAACCGAGGUUGAAAGCAGGGGAUCGUAAGACCUUGCGCAACUGGAGCGGCCGAUGGCAGAUUAGGUAGUUGGGGGGAUAAAAGCUUACCAAGUCGACGAUCAGUAGCUGGUCUGAGAGGACGACCAGCCACACUGGGACUGAGACACGGCCCAGACUCCUACGGGAGGCAGCAGUGGGGAAUUUUGGACAAUGGGCGAAAGCCUGAUCCAGCAAUGCCGCGUGCAGGAUGAAGGCCUUCGGGUUGUAAACUGCUUUUGUACGGAACGAAAAGCUUCGGGCUAAUACCCUGGAGUCAUGACGGUACCGUAAGAAUAAGCACCGGCUAACUACGUGCCAGCCGCCGCCGUAACAC